rnacentral:ncRNA from 1 species
AGAAAAGCUAUGAAGAGAAAGAGUAGCAGACACAAGAACUUACAGAGAGCAGCCGGUUGGUGUAAGGCUGCAGGGGCGGUGGCUGUGAAUACAUCUUGGAGCUGCGCACCGAACGACUGCAUAUCUGAUAUAUAUAUUGAUAUAUAUUAUUUAAGAUACAUUUUAGUAGGCUGUGACGGAGGUGACGCACCGUAAUAAGGCGUCAGGGUAUCAUCAGAUAAUUAAUCCGGACAUAUUACAGGAUUAAUUGCUUAUCGUACCUGCUAAGGCAUGAAGCGUGAGUUUUAUGUGAAUUAAGGUGGUAACACGGGAUUGCUGGUCUCGUCCUUUGA